UCAUUCCGAGGGCCGUGAGAGAUCUGGUAUUUAAUCUGGCCGUAAAGAUUAAAUGGAUUCACUUUUAAAUCUACUGGAAACAUUCCAGGGGCAAAUCGACACCCUUGCCUUCACUGGAAGUAAGCCCUGUGCCCGCCUCCUGCCCCGCCCCCACCACCUCACAUGAUAGCAGUGGAACACAACAAGGGAGAAGAACCAGGACAGGAAGAACCACUCAUCAAGGUACAGGUAAGCCCCACCCCUCCGGCUAAGAGAAGCAGCACGUCCUGCUGUGGCUGGUAAAACGGAACCAAGUCAGGUGUU